CUAACCCGGACGACGCUGGGCCAAUUGUGCGCCGCCCCACGUGUCUCCCCGUCGCGGCCGGCUGCGACAGAGCCUGAACUCGAACCAGGAUCUCUAGUGGCACAGCUAGCAACUGCGAUGCAGUGCCUUAGUUUGCAGAGUGGUGCAGUGGUCUAUCAUAUUCUCAAGCAUGGCGGUGGCUGCAUCAAGUUACGGGCAUGCUUGUCAUUGGCAAGGCCUGACAAGUGUUGUUUUUUUGUUUGUUUUUUAUAAAAUAAUAAUAAUUUGGAUGAAACGAAAUCGAGCUAAGGCCAAAUCUACACUGGAGACGACAGUGAAUGUUCCUGAUUUUCGCCUUAAAUCUAUGGCAAGACUUGAAAAUCUGGAAUGUGUCUGUUUGGACAGCUGGUAGAGCAGAGUGCUGGUCUUGGUACCUUGCUGGGCAUCCUGGCCAGGCCCACGGCCAGAAGGUGUGUGUGUGUGUGUGUGGGGGGGGUGAAUAUGGCACGCUUGGACUUUUAGGGCUGUUUUAUUCGGCCUGAGGAGACAACACACACACACACACACACACACACACACACACACACACACACAGCAUGGUGACGUCUGUGGGAGGAGAAUGGGAGAAGAAGGAAAGGCAGAGCCAGCCGGGAAACACACAGAGCCUAAUGAGUUUGAUAGGCUGUUGGGCUCCAUAAAUCAUGCCAUGCAAAACAUUUCUCCUCUCUGAAUAAAAGCAUUUAUCACCCUCUGUUUAUUCACUCACUCUAACAAGAUUGAUUGUCUCCCAGCAGCCACCUGGGCAUUCAGGCGUGCUGAUUUCACCUCCUUGGUGUUUUUCUUCCCUCUAUCUCUUCAGUUGGGAAACUUCGGAAGGAGUGGAUGAAGGACAGCAUCUCUAACGUGGGCGUCGGGAUGCUCAAGUCCGUUAAGGAAUACGUGGACCCGGAAAACAUUUUCGGCAACCGAAACCUCCUCUAAUUUACAUGACAUUUUAUAACAGCCUCUUGGAAUAAUGGUUACUAAAUGUGACAAGAAGUAUCAAUGUCUUUCACCUUCGGUAUGACUUAGUCAGUUGUGCAGUCAACAUCAGUCAGAUAACUUGCCUUGCAUUACAUUACUGCACUUAACAUGCUGUAACAAUAAUUGUCUGUGAUUCAUUUCGAAGCUCAUGGCAUCAAGUCCUCAGUAAUGUCCUCAACCAGGAUGAUAUGGUGAAUGAAGCAGUCAGGUCCUCAGUAAUGUCCUCAACCAGGAUGAUAUGGUGAAUGAAGCAGUCAGGUCCUCAACCAGGAUGAUAUGGUGAAUGAAGCAGUCAGGUCCUCAGUAAUGUCCUCAACCAGGAUGAUAUGGUGAAUGAAGCAGUGUAUCAUACUAACGAUAGUACUGUUGAUCAUUUCAGUCACGUGUAUACAACACGCCGUAAGAAUGGCCUUUUCAUAUUGUACAUGAUGCAGGUUAACUUUUUGUGAUCCCAUAUUUGCCUACAAUUUAAUUGUUUCCUAUAAUUCUUGCCAAUUUCAUUAACUAGAUAUUUUUUUGGUAGAUGUUUAUUUACCUGUGUUUGGCACUACUUGAACAGUGAGUUCUAGAUGAAUGCUUUUUCUAAAGCUCUGUGCCUUUCUGAAGAUGUCUAUCUUCACCCUUUCCUACACACACACACUGUGGAAGCUUGACUGGUUUGUUUAUGGCAUCCUAUAUCUUCCCUUAUAAUGUGCGUGUCCUUCAUUCUAGAUUUCCUGUUUUCCAGUGGGUCUUUGUUUCUCUACUCAAGCCUUGUAUUACUUAUACUAUUAAUGAUUGCUAAGAGAUGUGUAUUUUGUUGUACCGACCUAGGAGGAUUUAUAUUACGUUGAAAGUCGUGCCUCUGCUGAAAAUGUACCUCAGGGUAAAAAUGUCCCUCAAACCCAAACGUUAAACUGUUUGAAGAAACUAGGAUAUGAUGCUUAACAACUUAUUUUUUUAAUUGAUGUUUUAUUUUAGAUUUGACCUUGCAUGGUCUUUGCCUGUCAUACAGAGUUCAGUUUGUGGACAAUGUACUUGAAUCAUACAUGCUUUUAGUGUGAACAUGUUACAGACGACUGAAUCCCAAAACCCAUGUUUGUACCAAAGACUUUCAGCACAACUGUUUCACUGCUUUAUACAGACCAUGCAAACAUCCUGGAUGUAUAGGUCUGUACAUGCUGUAUAGUUAAAUGUAUGGGACAUUCAUACAGUUAAUACAUGAACCUAUAACCUGAUUAUACAUAUUUUUAUUCAAUUCAGAUAUGCAAAUUUACAAAUAUCAAAAUGUGUUCAUAUUUGUUACUUUAAAUGUUACAUGUUCAUGUCAAUGAAAAACAUUUUCUUUAAAUUCAAUUACAAUAUUUUGUCACUACUUUAAAAAAAAACAAUUGCCUACAAGCAAGAGAGGUUGUAUUUAGACAAAAAUACAUCCGACUAAAUUGUCUGUUCCCUGGUGAGGGUCCCAGUGUUGUGGUUUUGUUGGAAAGGAUACAUUUGAGUGAAAGAUAAUUGUACCUUUGUCACAAUUUACAGAUGAUUAUGCGUAUAAGUUUGGCGUCUUUGCGAGGCAUGUGUCGAUGUUGUGCCCAAUCCUAAAGUCAGACAUGGGAUUCUACUGUACGGUGCUAGACUAAGAUACAUGAAAUGUAUUGCUACCGUUUUCCUGUCACUACUGCGUGACUGUGUUCCUCCUGUUCUCAGCCUCGCAGUUUUCCCACAGUGCAUUGUCACCUUCCUGCCCAAGUAUCUCACCUCUCCACCUCCAAUGAACAUGUUGUCAAAGGAAAUGGUGGAGCCGGAGACAGCGUUUUAUCUAAUCAGUUUCAUGCUUUUACUUCCUGUGAUGGUUCCUGAAAGAGAACUUAAAUGAGAGCUUGAAAUCUGAAUGUUAUGCAUGUACUUUUUUUUGUGUUAUUUUUCAAUUCUUAAAGUUAUUAACAUUUAAGUACCUUUUAUCAAUGAUGUUUGUGCAGUAAAUACAUUGAAAUAAAACAAGCAGUAGUCUGGAUAUUUUUCAGAUAACAGAAUGACACCAAUCGGUUGAAUAGAAAUGCAGUUGACAGGAAAUGUCUCUGUUUGUCCGUGACGUAAUGCAUAUUCAUAAUAAAGUUCAACAUACGAGGUA
rnacentral:lncRNA from 1 species